GAGAUAAAUCCUGAACAAGUAUCAAGUUAUCAAGUUGCACCAACCUUUUGUAAUAAGAGUAUUUUGUCUAAUCCCAAAUUGCAGUCGGUUUUUCUUAAUGCUGAGCUGGUAAAGCCUGGGAUUAGGGAGCAGGAGAGGAGGGGGAAAGGUUCCUUUAGCCGGCAGGAUUGCAGUGGCGGCUCCGCGGAUGUUGUCGGUGCUUAUUAAAACGUCGAUGCAUAAAAUAGGAUAUUGUAAAGAGCCGGGAGAGAGGGACGUGGAGAGGGUUCAUUUGGUACCGUCUGGGGCGCAGGGAAGACGUCCGGCCGCAGACCAGGGCUCCGCACCUGCGAGGGAGGCCGGAGACAUCAAAGUGCUCCAGACACAAUGCUCAGGAGAUAAUCCAUCCUCUGGCCCGAGGACUGUCGUCACCACGAGGCUGGAGAACCCAAGCCCCGGGUUUCAGUGCGCCUUUCAGACCGCUGGUACACACUGUAAUAUAGCUCACAUCUCAUCUGCAACACAGCACUUCCACAGGAGCAUCACACGAGCUGCUCUGACAUGUGACAGAGGUCUCUGACCAGAGCGUCUCGCUUGUUCACCAGUAUCACCAGUUCAUCCAGUAGCAGCUGCUCGCGUCUCUUCUGGGCCUCAGUCUUCUGCCAGUCUGUAGCCAUCAAACAAACAGGGAGGAAAACGGUCAACAGGGGAGGAGCUGUGGACCACCAUGAUGGACUGUGGCUCAUGACUCAUCGUCAAGGACCUGGAAUUACCUUGAAUUGCCUUGAUUGAUCAAUCAAAGUGGAAAACAAGCACCCUUUUCUCCCAGAGUAUGACCUAGGUCAAGGUUUCUUUGGAAACAAAUGUAAUCCCAUAAAACAGUUGAGAAGUACA